rnacentral:lncRNA from 1 species
UCGAAGCUAGGGACAAAUAUAGUGAAGUGGAGGUAGUAUAUUUAUAUAUGUCCAAUGUGUGCAACAAAUGUAACAUAUGAAGGAGCAAUGCCCUUGGAAUAUAAUAAUAGAUAACAAUACAAGGAAUGUUUUAAAAAGGCAAAGAGAAAAGAGGUGCCUAAACCCACCACAUGCUUGAAAAUGGGGGCUUUAAUACCUCUAUUGUGCCACCACUACAUACAUAUCACAUAAAGACUUCCGCUAAUAGAUCUAAUCUUCCAUAUGCUAAUCCUUGAUGCUUCAUGACAAUUUUUAUCACAGAUUCACACUUGCGAUGCCACGACUCAUCUCAACCACAUCACUGUAACCCUGCACCUUCUGGUCAUUGGCUCCCAAGAAGUCACUAAUUAAUAGUGCAACAUUGCCAAUGUUAUUUCACCACUCCACUGAUGGUGUACAACAAGUAUCCAUUUACUUCGUCUUGAUCUUUGUGUGUUUGUGCUUAUGCCGAAUCUGCUCCCUUUUUGUGAGAUACUAUGGAUCAUUGUUGAUUUUAUCGGUGAUUUUAUUAGACCAACAUAUAGCAUGGCUUCAAACUGUAAGUCAGCCCAUACACUCCGGGACGCCAUCUCAAACGGUAUGUCAUCUUUGCUGUGAGCUCCCCAAAGUGGUUCAUGAAUUCAAGCAUUGUUCUCGUCCGCCAAAGGGUGUUAAACUGAUGGUUAUGUGCUUGAACUGCUAGCGGUAAAAAAUUGGUGCGGAGAGCCGCGAACAUGGCCUCCUAAGUGAACUCGCGACUCUUUGAUUCACGAAGUUGUAGCAAUCGAGUCAUGUUACCAACGAAGUGAAGGGUGGAAUUUCAAACCCAUAGCUCAGGCUGAAAGCCAUACACAAUAAAGUAUUUCUCACAUUCGUUCCUCCAGAAUUCACGACUAUUACCGUUGAAUGUGGGAAAUCCAGUUUGAGAAGAGACCAACUGGAAUCAGGUGUACGAGGUGAACACAUGUGCUCUGGAUCUCCACUCGGGCCAGGUACAAAAGAAGUUGAUAGGAAGUGACAUAUGAGUGGUGGUAACCCCAUGAGCCAAGUACCCCGGUGUUGUUGAACUCGACAUGGCCAUAGGCUCGUGGUUCUUGGAGCCAGUGUCGAGCAUGUGAUGAGCAGCGUGCACCACUGUUAUCUCCCUUGCAGCAGCCGAGGUCACAAGAUUUGCAUGUAGCGUGGUUUUCCCCACCUGCUCUCGCAGUAUGUCCGCCAACAUACAAAGGUUAGCCGCUGCUGACCUCCAGAGGUCCUCGAACUUGUCCUUGUCCUUCACUCAUCGAUUUGCUCCUCCAUGGGGAUGAUCAUGGCAGCUUGCUUUCUCCGGUACCAUGGCUUCUCCAGGAGAACUACUAGCUCUGAUACCAGAUUGUAACAUCCAUCUAACUAGAGAUCUCAAGGAGUAAGGGAAAGAGGAUAGGGUGCUGAAGGAGGAAGAAUAGCUUCUCUCAUAUGUUCUUGGUUGCUAAGUAUUUCUCAGUGUCUUAAACAGAAGGGGCUCUGCCCCUACUCAUAGCUCAAGGCUGGCAUGCAAGCCCAGUCCAGUGCACGCACAAGGAAACGGUAGUCACCAUGUGACAAUAGCAGCACACCUGUUGUCACCUGGGCCCUCCCUUGUAUGUGUAGCUAGGAGUGCUCGAGAGGUCAUACCAAUUACAGAACAAUGGAUAUGUGUUGUAAGGUAGGUUAACUGGUUGAUCCCCGCAAAUAAAAAAUCUCAUAAUCUGACCCGCCAUCCACAAACAAGACUUCUUCCCCUAGUAAAAUUUUAUAUAUGAUAGGAAAACGGUGAACAUGAAAGUAAUACCGAUGUAUGCUGACAGAUGGUAACUUUAGAAAUUAGAAAACUAGCUCGACAAAAAAAGGCAACUAAUCAGUCUGAUCUUUUGUUAAACUCAACUGAUGGAUUGACUAAAAGCAACUCAAGCCUUCAGAUUUACAUUUUAGAAGAGGAAACAAUUAGUGAUUGCCUAUUGCAUGCAUAUCAGUUUCAUGCACCAAAAAAUAGACUAGAUUGCUAAACUUAACAAUCAGUAAAAGCAACUAAUAUGACAUAAGGCUGAUCAUGAUGGAAAGUAUCAUAUACUAGUACAUCAUUUAACAUGAUAUGGUAUCAUAGCUUGGUAUUAUAGUGACCUUAUUUAUUGCCAUGCAUGACACAUACUAGUACAUCAUUUAAUAUGAUAUGGUAUCAUAUUAAUAGAUGUGAGCUUUUAAGUGCUUCUGUAUAUAACCAUCAAUAAGUUUCACCUAUCAGCCUUGCCCUAGAAGACACACGCCAACUACAAUAUGAGAUAAUAAAAACAUGAGUAAGUUUCACGUACCAGUCUUUUUACAACAUUUCGUCCAAAAUCAUCACCAUUGGUGAACAGGUCAUCUAAGGCAGCAGCGAUGACCUUCAAGAACUCAUG